UUCCAUCCCUAUCAACCGGUGCACUACAUGCAAGCCAAUGUGUGUGUAAAGGUUACGGGGAGGCAACCAUGUGCCGUGCCGCAGCACACAGCGCGUCCGACUUGUGGCCAAGAUGCUGGGACGUGGGGUCCUGUAAGCGGAUCCGAGCCAUGACCGAGGAACCUUAAGUUGUUAUCGAACCUUUCUGGAAAUAGGUAGGGAGCAUGGCAAGGCAGCGCGGGGAACCCAAGGUGUAUAUUUUCCGCCAGCGAUUAAAAACCCUAUCUUAUGUGACUAGUGGCGGUCCGUCCCUUCCCGCAUGGCGGUGCGAGCAUUUCCGAGCUGUGCCGAUUAUGUAUGUGACGUGACAGAUGGUGUUGUAGACUGUUUAGUGGCAUCUAAGCGCAGGUGGUGGAAGGGGCAUGUCGCAUGCGAGUUUGCAGGUUGCCGGCGACGUAACUGCUGGAAGACCUCGCGGAUAAGUGCGGAUAAGCUCAGCGUGUAACAGCGCCUGGGCCAGCCAGGCAGGAUCAGGAUCCCGGGAAAUUGCACGGCAUAGCUCAGGACGUCCAACUCUACUAUGCACGCACGCACGCGUCGCAAACAUUUAGGUGUAAUUCAUUCCAGACGUUUUUUGGAAGGCCCACGAAGGCCCACGAAUCCGCUGUAGUACGACUGCGCUACAGUUAGCCAGAAUCCUACAGCACAUUAGGAGUACAUUGCGUGCGCUGGAAUGGUGAUGUUGCUUGCUAAGGCCACUUGACAGUUGAUACUCGGACAUCCAGGUCACACCUAGGUGGCCAGAGUAAUGAUGGCCAGGGAAUUACCCUGUCAACCCCCAAUUACACCAUUGACUGCAACAAUUAGCGGGAAAUAUACUUGACUGUAGUGGUGAAGUUCUGCUCGCCCGCAUGGUCCUCCGUAGUACGGCAGCUAGAUGGGACAGCAGUUGAGCUACAACGACACAACGCCUUUUCACAUUUCGACAUUGACAUAAACAGGGGAGCAUUGAGCUGGCUUGACCCCACCUGCAUGAUCAAUACUGGAUAUGGUGCAUGCGACCGCUUUAACGUAGGCCCACGGAGAAUCUUUGACGUAGGCCCACGGAGCACCAUGUUGCCUAACGCCCCAUGAUGAAAGGAUGAAAGCUCGGUCUGUCCUCUGCUGAAUGCUUUCCGUUUUUUGGACCGUUGCUUGCACCUGACCCUGUUACGAACCCUUGCCCGCGGGACUGCCCCUAUUCAGAUCCUGUCCUCUUCCAGUCGUUUCGUAAUCCAUUCAAUGCAAACAUGCCCGUUAAGACUUCAGUGUAGGGAAUUAAUUGAUUACUAGUUCAUCGCGUUUGGUCGUUGCCGCAUUGAGUUGGUUAGCGCCCUUAUCAUUACCUGACCAAUAUUUUUUUGAUAUCAU
rnacentral:lncRNA from 1 species